rnacentral:rRNA from 1 species
UACGUAGGGACCAAGCGUUGUCCGGAAUCAUUGGGCGUAAAAGCGCGCGUAGGUGGCUUCGUAAGUCCGUUGUGAAAGUCAAAGGCUCAACCUUUGAAAGCCGAUGGAUACUGCGAAGCUAGAGUACGGAAGAGGCGAGUGGAAUUCCUGGUGUAGCGGGUGGAAUGCGCAGAUAUCAGGAGGAACACCAAUAGGCGAAGGCAGCUCGCUGGGACGUUACUGACACUGAGGCGCGAAAGCGUGGGGAGCGAACAGG